AAGUCGGACGGCAGCGGGGGGGCAACUCCNUGCGAGAGUGGCGAACGGGUGAGUAAGACGUGGGUGAUCUGUCCCGGUCACGGGGAUAGCCUGUGGAAACAUGGGGUAAUACCGGAUAAGCUCUGCGGGGUAAAGGCCGCGGAGGAAAGGCGCGUAUGCGCCGGAGAGGGAUGAGCCUGCGGUCCAUUAGCUUGUUGGCAGGGUAAGAGCCUACCAAGGCGACGAUGGAUAGCCGGCCUGAGAGGGUGAACGGCCACACUGGGACUGAGAUACGGCCCAGACUCCUACGGGAGGCAGCAGCUAAGAAUCUUCCGCAAUGGGCGAAAGCCUGACGGAGCGACGCCGCGUGGACGAAGAAGGCCGAAAGGUUGUAAAGUUCUUUUCUUUGCGAAGAAUAAGGGGAGGAGGGAAUGCCUUUCUGAUGACGUUAGCGAAGGAAUAAGCCCCGGCUAAUUACGUGCCAGCAGCCGCGGUAAUACGUAAGGGGCGAGCGUUGUUCGGAAUUAUUGGGUGUAAAGGGCGCGCAGGCGGCUCUGAAAGUCCGGUGUGAAAGGCCGCAGCUUAACUGCGGUUGUGCGCUGGAAACUACAGGGCUUGAGUGCAGGAGGGGGAGCUGGAAUUCCAGGUGUAGGGGUGAAAUCUGUAGAUAUCUGGAAGAACACCGGUGCGAAGGCGAGC
rnacentral:rRNA from 1 species